rnacentral:piRNA from 1 species
GCCUAGAUUUCAGUAUAUCCACGAUUGCUACC